ACGUCACCGAGCGCUGUGCACACGCACACAUGCUUCACGUCACCAAGCGCUGUGCACAGGUGCACAUGCUUCAUGUCACCGAGCGCUGUGCACAGGUGCACAUGCUUCCCGUCACCGAGCGCUGUGCACAGGUGUACAUGCUUCACGUCACCCAGCGCUGUGCACAGGUGCACAUGCUUCACGUCACCCAGCGCUGUGCAUGUGUACAUGCUUC